rnacentral:rRNA from 1 species
CAGCAGCCGCGGUAACACAGAGGGUGCGAGCGUUAAUCGGAUUUACUGGGCGUAAAGCGUGCGUAGGCGGCUUCUUAAGUCGGAUGUGAAAUCCCUGAGCUUAACUUAGGAAUUGCAUUCGAUACUGGGAAGCUAGAGUAUGGGAGAGGAUGGUAGAAUUCCAGGUGUAGCGGUGAAAUGCGUAGAGAUCUGGAGGAAUACCGAUGGCGAAGGCAGCCAUCUGGCCUAAUACUGACGCUGAGGUACGAAAGCAUGGGGAGCAAACAGGAUUAGAUACCCCCGUAGUCCCUGUCUCUUAUAC